GUGCCAGCCGCCGCGGUAAUACGGAAGGUCCGGGCGUUAUCCGGAUUUAUUGGGUUUAAAGGGAGCGCAGGCUGAUGAUUAAGCGUGACGUGAAAUGUAGCCGCUCAACGGCUGAACUGCGUCGCGAACUGGUUAUCUUGAGUGAGUUCGAUGUUGGCGGAAUUUGUGGUGUAGCGGUGAAAUGCUUAGAUAUCACGAAGAACUCCGAUUGCGAAGGCAGCCGACAAGGCCUUUACUGACGCUAAAGCUCGAAGGUGCGGGUAUCGAACAGGAUUAGAUACCCUGGUAGUCCGCACGGUAAACGAUGGAUGCCCGCUGUUGGCGAUACAAUGUCAGCGGCCAAGAGAAAUCGUUAAGCAUCCCACCUGGGGAGUACGCCGGCAACGGUGAAACUCAAAGGAAUUGACGGGGGCCCGCACAAGCGGAGGAACAUGUGGUUUAAUUCGAUGAUACGCGAGGAACCUUACCCGGGCUUGAACUGCAGCGGAAGGAUACAGAGAUGUUGACGCCCUUCGGGGCCGCUGUGGAGGUGCUGCAUGGUUGUCGUCAGCUCGUGCCGUGAGGUGUCGGCUUAAGUGCCAUAACGAGCGCAACCCUUUUCAUCAGUUGCCAUCAGGCGAUGCUGGGCACUCUGGUGAUACUGCCACCGUAAGGUGUGAGGAAGGUGGGGAUGACGUCAAAUCAGCACGGCCCUUACGUCCGGGGCUACACACGUGUUACAAUGGGAGGUACAGAGAGUGGGAUGUGCGCAAGUACGUUCAAAUCCUAAAAGCCUUCCUCAGUUCGGAUUGGGGUCUGCAACCCGACCCCAUGAAGCUGGAUUCGCUAGUAAUCGCGCAUCAGCCAUGGCGCGGUGAAUACGUUCCCGGGCCUUGUACACACCGCCCGU
rnacentral:rRNA from 1 species